CCCUGUCGGGUUUUACCUCCCCCCGGGAGAGCUCAGCCCUGGAUCCCGGCGGGCGGCGGAGCCUCUCUGGAGCCCGGACGGGACAGCCCACCAGGGUCUGCUUCUGUGAGGGGCCGAGGCGUCAUUCCGCGAAGGCUCUUCAUUCGAUGUACAAAAACCACAAGAUUAUCUAAAUAGAUGCAGAAAAGGCCUUCGAUAAAAAUCCUCAUUCCUUCAUGUUAAAAACUCUCAAUAAACUAGGUAUUGAAGGAACAUACCUCAAAAUAAUAAGAGCCAUUUAUGACAAACUCACAGCCAGUGUCCUUACUGAAUGGGCAAAAGCUGAAAGCAUUCCCCUUGAAAACCAGCACAAGACAAGUUUGCCCUCUCUCCCAACCCCUAUUCAAUAUAGUAUUGGAAGUUAUGGCCACGGCAAUCGGGCAAGAGAAAAAAAUGAAGAGUAUUUAAAUGGGAAAAGAGGAAGUCAAACUAUCUUUUUUUGCAGGUGACAUAAUCCUAUAUCUAGAAAACCCAUUGUCUCAACCCAAAAGCUUCUUAAGCUGAUAAGCAACUUCAGCAAAGUCUCAGGAUAAAAAAUCAAAGUGCAAAAAUUGCUAUACACCAACAACAGGCAAGCCAAGAGCCAAAUCAUGAAUGAGCUUUGAUUCACAAUUGCUACAAAAAGAACAAAAUACCUAGGAAUACAGCUAACAAGGGAA
rnacentral:lncRNA from 1 species